rnacentral:lncRNA from 1 species
AUGGGGGAAAUGGCCAAGAGGCCAUGUUGUCACUGUAAAUCAGAAAAUUUAGGAGAGGCAGCUCUUCUGCGUGGGGACCUUGAAAUGCAAAGAAGCUCUGCUGGAGGCAAAAGAUUUCGAGGACCUGUGGUGCAGUGGACAGGACCCAGCCUGUACCCCGAGGACUCACCCCGAGAUAAACAGGAUAAAUCAUUCUCCUCUACAGUCCUCUCCUACCCUUCCUGGAGCCUCCGCUGUGGUGAGUAGGCUCAAAAUUUCUUGCUGUAUAAAAAAACAUGUUUAAUGUUUAAAAUGCUAGCUUCACAUACUCAACUCUUCUGCAGGUUCAUGCCCCCAAAGCUUUUAAAUUAGUAAAACUUAGCUCAUCACUUACCUCUGUGAACACCUUAUGCGAGCAGCCUCUUCUUUAAUUAAAUAUACGUUUAUAAAUAAAUGUAUGUGUGUGCAUGUGUUUACGGGCACGCCACACACAAGUACCUAAAACUUCCGGAACCGGGCCUGUCUUGGCGCCUCAGCGUGGCUCCUGCUUAUUAACUCAGUUUUGUGGUCACAGACUGGAGCCUUCCAGGCAGGCGGAUGAUUUCAUACCGGACAGGUCAAGGCAUGCUUACCUGGGCUCCCUCAUCCCU